rnacentral:rRNA from 1 species
GACGAACGCUGGCGGCGUGCCUAAUACAUGCAAGUCGAACGCAGUGGGGACGGGUGAGUAACACGUGGGUAACCUCCCAUCAGAGGGGAUAAAACUUGGAAACAGGUGCUAAACCGAUACUGAUGGAUGGACCCGCGGGGCAUUAGCUAGUUGGUGAGGUAACGGCUCACCAAGGCCACGAUGCAUAGCUGACUUGGAGGGGUGAUCGGCCACACUGGAACUGAGACACGGCCCAGAUUCCUACGGGAGGCAGCAGUAGGGAAUCUUCGGCAAUGGACGAAAGCCUGACCGAGCAACGCCGCGUGAGUGAAGAAGGCUUUCGGAUUGUAAAACUCUGUUGUCAGAGAAGCGGUAUCUAACCAUAAAGCCACGGCUAACUACGUGCCAGCAGCCGCGGUAAUAC